rnacentral:rRNA from 1 species
UACAUGGGGUGCAAACGUUGCUCGGAAUUAUUGGGCGUAAAGAGCUCGUAGGUGGCUUGUCGCGUCUGCCGUGAAAGCCCAUGGCUUAACUGUGGGUCUGCGGUGGAUACGGGCAGGCUGGAGGCUGGUAGGGGCAAGCGGAAUUCCUGGUGUAGCGGUGAAAUGCGUAGAUAUCGUCUGGAACGCCUGUGGUGAAGACGGGUGACUGGGCAGGUUCUGACACUGAGGCACGAAAGCGUGGGGAGCGAACGGG